GAUGAACGCUGGCGGCGUGCCUAAUACAUGCAAGUCGAGCGAACGGACGAGAAGCUUGCUUCUCUGAUGUUAGCGGCGGACGGGUGAGUAACACGUGGAUAACCUACCUAUAAGACUGGGAUAACUUCGGGAAACCGGAGCUAAUACCGGAUAAUAUUUUGAACCGCAUGGUUCAAAAGUGAAAGACGGUCUUGCUGUCACUUAUAGAUGGAUCCGCGCUGCAUUAGCUAGUUGGUAAGGUAACGGCUUACCAAGGCAACGAUGCAUAGCCGACCUGAGAGGGGGACGGGCCCCCCGGAAACUGAGACCCGUCCCAGCCCCUCAGGGGAGGCAGAAGGGGGGAAGUUUCCGAAAGGGGGGAAAGCCUGCCGGAGCAACGCCGGGGGGGUGAAGAAGGUUUGCGGAUCGUAAAACUCUUUUAUUAGGGAAAAACAUAUGUGAAAGUAACUGGGCACAUCUGGAGGGUACCUAAUCAGAAAGCCACGCCUAACCACGG
rnacentral:rRNA from 1 species